rnacentral:rRNA from 1 species
UACGUAGGUGGCAAGCGUUAUCCGGAAUGAUUGGGCGUAAAGCGUCCGCAGGUGGCUAUGUAAGUCUGCUGUUAAAGAGUGAGGCUCAACCUCAUAAGAGCAGUGGAAACUACAUGGCUAGAGUGCGUUCGGGGCAGAGGGAAUUCCUGGUGUAGCGGUGAAAUGCGUAGAUAUCAGGAAGAACACCGGUGGCGAAAGCGCUCUGCUAGGCCGCAACUGACACUGAGGGACGAAAGCUAGGGGAGCGAAUGGG